rnacentral:rRNA from 1 species
GAAAACUCCGGUGGUAUGGGAUGGGCCCGCGUCUGAUUAGCUCGUUGGCGGGGUAACGGCCCACCAAGGCGACGAUCAGUAGCCGGCCUGAGAGGGCGGCCGGCCACAUUGGGACUGAGACACGGCCCAGACUCCUGCGGGAGGCAGCAGUGGGGAAUAUUGCACAAUGGGGGAAACCCUGAUGCAGCGACGCCGCGUGAGCGAUGAAGUAUCUCGGUAUGUAAAGCUCUAUCAGCAGGGAAGAAAGUGACAGUACCUGACUAAGAAGCCCCGGCUAACUACGUGCCAGCAGCCGCGGUAAUACGUAGGGGGCAAGCGUUAUCCGGAUUCACUGGGCGUAAAGGGAGCGCAGGCGGCACGGCAAGUCUGGUGUGAAAACCCGGGGCUCAACCCCGGGACUGCAUUGGAAACUGCCGGGCUGGAGUGUCGGAGGGGUAAGCGGAAUUCCUAGUGUAGCGGUGAAAUGCGCAGAUAUUAGGAGGAACACCAGUGGCGAAGGCGGCUUACUGGACGAUGACUGACGCUGAGGCUCGAAAGCGUGGGGAGCAAACAGGAUUAGAUACCCUGGUAGUCCACGCCGUAA